AGACGAACCGUGCGAACGUUAUUCGGAAUCACUGGGCUUGAAGCGUGCGUAGGCGGCUUGGCAAGUUGGGUGUGAAAGCCCUCGGCUCAACCGAGGAAUUGCGCCCAAAACUGCCAGGCUUGAGGGAGUUAGAGGUGAGCGGAACUGAUGGUGGAGCGGUGAAAUGCUUUGAUAUCAUCAGGAACACCGGAGGCGAAGGCGGCUCACUGGGGCUCUUCUGACGCUGAGGCACGAAAGCUAGGGGAGCGAACGGGAUUAGAAACCCCGGUAGUCC
rnacentral:rRNA from 1 species